rnacentral:rRNA from 1 species
AGGACGAACGCUGGCGGCGUGCUUAACACAUGCAAGUCGAGCGGAAAGGCCCUUCGGGGUACUCGAGCGGCGAACGGGUGAGUAACACGUGAGCAACCUGCCCUUAGCUCCGGGAUAGCUCCGGGAAACCGGAAUUAAUACCGGAUACGACCACGGCCGACAUCUGCUGUGGUGGAAAGGAUUCCGGCUAAGGAUGGGCUCGCGGCCUAUCAGCUAGUUGGUGGAGUAACGGCCCACCAAGGCGACGACGGGUAGCCGGCCUGAGAGGGCGACCGGCCACACUGGGACUGAGACACGGCCCAGACUCCUACGGGAGGCAGCAGUGGGGAAUAUUGCGCAAUGGGCGAAAGCCUGACGCAGCGACGCCGCGUGGGGGAUGAAGGCCUUCUGGUUGUAAACCCCUUUCAGCAGGGACGAAGCGAAAGUGACGGUACCUGCAGAAGAAGCGCCGGCUAACUACGCGCCAGCAGCCGC